rnacentral:tRNA from 1 species
GGGUGUGCAGCACAGUGGUAGAGUGCUUGCUUGGUGCCCAGGAGGUCCUGGGUUCAAUCCCCAGUGCCUUCA